AGAGUUUGAUCCUGGCUCAGGAUGAACGCUGGCGGCGUGCCUAACACAUGCAAGUCGAACGAAGCACCUUUUGAGAUUCUUCGGAUGAUCGAUCGGUGACUGAGUGGCGGACGGGUGAGUAACGCGUGGGUAACCUGCCUCACACAGGGGGAUAGCAGUUGGAAACGGCUGAUAAUACCGCAUAAGCGCACGGUACCGCAUGGUACAGUGUGAAAAACUCCGGUGGUGUGAGAUGGACCCGCGUCUGAUUAGCUUGUUGGCGGGGUAACGGCCCACCAAGGCAACGAUCAGUAGCCGACCUGAGAGGGUGACCGGCCACAUUGGGACUGAGACACGGCCCAGACUCCUACGGGAGGCAGUAGUGGGGAAUAUUGCACAAUGGAGGAAACUCUGAUGCAGCGACGCCGCGUGAGUGAAGAAGUAAUUCGUUAUGUAAAGCUCUAUCAGCAGGGAAGAUAGUGACGGUACCUGACUAAGAAGCUCCGGCUAAAUACGUGCCAGCAGCCGCGGUAAUACGUAUGGAGCAAGCGUUAUCCGGAUUUACUGGGUGUAAAGGGAGUGUAGGUGGCAUCACAAGUCAGAAGUGAAAGCCCGGGGCUCAACCCCGGGACUGCUUUUGAAACUGUGGAGCUGGAGUGCAGGAGAGGCAAGUGGAAUUCCUAGUGUAGCGGUGAAAUGCGUAGAUAUUAGGAGGAACACCAGUGGCGAAGGCGGCUUGCUGGACUGUAACUGACACUGAGGCUCGAAAGCGUGGGGAGCAAACAGGAUUAGAUACCCCGGUAGUCCACGCCGUAAACGAUGAAUACUAGGUGUCGGGGCUCAUAAGAGCUUCGGUGCCGCAGCAAACGCAAUAAGUAUUCCACCUGGGGAGUACGUUCGCAAGAAUGAAACUCAAAG
rnacentral:rRNA from 1 species